rnacentral:rRNA from 1 species
UACGGAGGGUCCGAGCGUUGUCCGGAAUUAUUGGGUUUAAAGGGUACGUAGGCGGAUUAAUAAGUCAGAGCUGAAAUCCUACAGCUUAACUGUAGAACUGGCUUUGAAACUGUUAAUCUUGAGUAUGGUAGAGAUAGGCGGAAUUUAUAAUGUAGCGGUGAAAUGCAUAGAUAUUAUAAAGAACACCGAUAGCGAAGGCAGCUUGUUGGACCAUAACUGACGCUAAUGUACGAAAGUGCGGGUAUCGAACAGG